GUCCGUCGAAGGGGCGUGGCGCGGCGCCGCGUGCGGUGAGCGGGCGCGCAGGGCCGCCGCGGGAGGCAGGCGGGCGGUGUCUACGCCUGGAGGGGGUGAAGGCCCCCCACACAAGUUUCCCACCAGGCCCCGACAUGCCUGUCCUUGUGAGGCAAAAACUUCAAUGGGAUCCUUCCUCUCCCUAAAGCCUCGUGGCGGGGCAGCUGGUUCACCCAUUCAAACGGAAGGAUGAGAUCAGUUCAUAGGAACAUGAUGUGAAUGGAAGCAGCCUGUCAUUAUGCAAAUAGUACGACACUCUGAACAGACACUAAAAACAGUUCUCAUCUCAAAGAACCCAGCGCUGGUGGCACAGUACGAGAAGUUAGAUGCUGGGGAACGGCGUUUGAUGAACGAAGCCUUCCUGCCAAACAGUGAUCUCUUUGGACCCAUUACUUUGCAUUCGAAGUCAGAUUGGAUAAACUCCCACCCUGAGGCUCCCCAGGACUUUGAAGAGUUUUUCAAUGAUCCUUACAGAAAGACACCCUCUGCAGAGAAGCACAGUAUUUAUAUACAGUGCAUUGGUAUAUAUUGGUAAUAGGGUGGAUUUGGUUUGGUUUUGCACUGUGCUGGUGCCAGGGAUAGUUUAGCUUCUUGAUCUCAUUUAAGUGGGCAGUUUUUAUAAUCUUUUUUUUUUUCUUUCCGGGCCGCACUUGCUGCAUAUGAAAGUUCUCAGGCUAGGGGGUCCAGUCGGAGCUGUAGCUGCUGGCCUAUGGUUACAGCUCAUGGCAGUGCUGGAUCCUUCACCCACUGAGCGGGGCCAGGGAUCGAACCCACAUCCUCAUGAAUACUAGUUGGGUUCAUUACUGAUGAACCACAAUGGGAUAUUCAUUUGGUUCAUAAUCAUUUUUGAUAUUCAGUCCAGUGGUGGAAGUUUGGUAGCCAAAUUUUGCCUUAAAAGAGGAUGUUUUGUUUCUUUCUAAUUUGCAUUCACACCAAUGAAUGAUAAAGAUAUAUUGAAAAUUCAGAGUUGGUUUAUUUCUAAUUCCAAAUUUCCAAUUAUAGACUGAGGUAAAGACUGUUUUAAUCAUCUUAAAAUCUGUCUUUUGGAGUUCCCUGGUGGCCUAGCAGCAUUGCCACUGCUGUGGCGUGGGUUUGAUCCCUGACCCAGGAACUUCUGCCUGCUGUGGGCGUGGCCAAAAAAAAAAUCUGUCAUUAAAUUUUCUUCCAUAUUAUAGGAUCUCUUGGAAACACAAGGAGUGUCAGUGAAGAAUAUGUUAAAUGGCUCAAAGGCUACUGUGAAGCAUUUUUCUACGGCUUGACAGUGAAACUCCUAGAACCAGUUCCUGUCUCUGCCACCAAGUGUUCAUUUAGAAUCAACGAUGANNNNNNNNNNNNNNNNNNNNNNNNNNGGCAGAUCCUGAAGUUCUUAAAAAAGAGGAAACCUGAAGAUGCCUUUUGUGUUGUGGGAAUAACAAUGAUUGAUCUCUAUCCAAGAGACUCCUGGAAUUUCGUCUUCGGACAGGCCUCUUUGACAGAUGGUGUGGGGAUAUUCAGCUUUGCCAGGUAUGGCCGUGAUUUCUAUAGCUCCCACUAUGAAGGCAAGGUGAAGAAGCUGCGGAAGAAAUCCUCGAGUGACUAUUCAGUUUUUGACAACUAUUACAUUCCUGAAGUCACUAGUGUUUUGCUGCUUCGGUCCUGUAAGACUUUAACCCACGAGAUUGGGCACAUCUUCGGACUUCGGCACUGCCAGUGGCUUGCCUGCCUCAUGCAAGGUUCCAACCACUUGGAAGAAGCUGACCGGCGCCCCCUCAACCUUUGCCCUGUCUGUUUACGCAAGCUGCAGAGCGCUAUUGGCUUCAGCCUUAAAGAAAGAUACCGAGCGCUGGUGAGGUGGAUUGACGAUGAAUCCACCGACACACCUAGAGUUACUCCGAGACACAGUCGCGAGGAUAACGUGAACCUGCCCAAACCUGUGGAAGCCUUUAAGGAGUGGAAAGAGUGGCUAACCCAGUGCCUUGCUCUUCUCCACACAUAAGCACCCUCUCAUAGGAGUAAUUAAAAGAAAUAGCUGCACGUUACUCUUGCAUUUGGGCGGCGUAGUUCAUUGGAAUAAACUGUUGAGUCUG
rnacentral:lncRNA from 1 species